rnacentral:lncRNA from 1 species
GAUUUUUAUUGUUUCCUGUUGGAUAUUCCUGCUGUAACCUUCGGCCUUCCGGUGGGGUUACUGCUCUCAGAAUCUGAAAUAUUUAAACUAAAACAUAAAAAGUAUUCCUCUCGUUAUACAGGUGGGCGCCUAUUUAAGCUAAGACAUGAAAAAUUAUUCCUCUCGUUAUACAGGUGGGCGCCUAUUUAAACUAAGACUGAAAAUAUUCCUCUCAUUAUACAGGUGGGCGCCUAUUUAAACUAAGACUAAAAAUUAUUCCUCUCGUUAUACAGGUGGGCGCCUAUUUAAACUAAGACUGAAAAUUAUUCCUCUCGUUAUACAGGUGGGCGCCUAUUUAAACUAAGACUGAAAAUUAUUCCUCUCGUUAUACAGGUGGGCGCCUAUUUAAACU